rnacentral:rRNA from 1 species
CCUACGGGAGGCAGCAGUGAGGAAUAUUGGUCAAUGGGCGGAAGCCUGAACCAGCCAAGUAGCGUGCAGGAUGACGGCCCUAUGGGUUGUAAACCUCUUUUAUCCGGGAAUAACGUGCCGUACGUGUACGGUUUUGCGUGUACCCGAUGAAUAAGCAUCGGCUAAAUCCGUGCCAGCAGCCGCGGUAAUACGGAGGGUGCGGGCGUUAUCCGGAUUUAUUGGGUUUAAAGGGUGCGUAGGCGGACGCUUAAGUCUGCGGUAAAAUUGCGGGGCUCAACCGGGCCGAGCCGUUGAAACUGGGGGCCUUGAGUGCGCGAGAAGUACGCGGAAUGCGUGGUGUAGCGGUGAAAUGCAUAGAUAUGACGCAGAACCCCGAUUGCGAAGGCAGCGUGCUGGAGCGCAACUGACGCUGAAGCACGAAGGCGCGGGUAUCGAACAGGAUUAGAUACCCUUGUAGUC